UGGAAGGUCCUCGGCUCCUCCGUGGCUGCAGCAUCCGGGGAGAUCACAUUGUCACGGUAGUUGGUGGUGAGGGGCAAAGAGAGUCUCGCCAUCCAGGCCGGGUCAGGGGCGCUCAGCCGGUCCAGGGCCAGACCUGUGUGGGGAGCAGGGGACACAGUGAGGGCCAGGCUCCGGGAAGGACCAGGCGGGUGAGGGUGGGGCAAUGGGCAGGGCAAGGGCAGUGGACAAAGGAGGGAAGGGAAAUGGCAGGGGACAGACAGAGUGGCCAGACAGGGACAGGAAGGAAGAGGCCCUGACAGGGAAGCUCCCUGGGUAGGAAGGCAGUCGACUGACACACCCGGGCGAACCGAGUGGGGAAGCAGCAGGAGGAGGAGAAGGCCUAGAAGCAGGAAUUAGCCUUUUCCUAAAGAAUUUCCCAAUCUGGGCUGUGGUGUGUUUCCAGUCUCAGUGUCUUCUAUAUUUCAUCCAGGAUUUUUACCCCUCAGGGCGCCUUCUCCCCUCAGGGCUCCACUAGCUGAGGAUGGAGGGAAAAAUCCCUUUUCUUAGCCGAGGCUGGAGUUCCUGACUUGGCGCUGCCCUUUGUUCCUAUCCAUAAUAAUAGGGACCACAUACUAGGUACUUAUGUGAUGAACAAUUUACAUAAUUAUUUAACUUCCACACAAACCUUUGAGGUCAAGAGUAUUAUCCCCAUUUGGUGGAUGAGGAAACCGAAGCUGAAAGAAGUUAAGUCACACAUCUGCUAGGCAACAAACCUCAAUUUGAUGCCAGGUCUGAUGACUUUGAAGCCUUCCUAUGAUGGCACCACCCUACCCUCUCUCUGAAGAGCUGGCCCUUCGUCCCUCUGGAUACUCCAGGUGCCCAGCUGGGGCCUCUGGAAUUCCCAGGCUACCUAAGGUCUGCACUGUUAUCACCUGGCCCCCGAUCCGCAAAUCCUCCUCAACAUCAUCUCUCAAGCUGCCGGAAACCCUGGCCUAGAGUCAGGCUGGGGAGGGGCUGCCUGUCCAAGGGCUGUCCCAGGAGAGGGACUGGGGUAGUGGUGGUGGCAAGUCAGCCUGGUGGCUGGGAAUUCAAAAAACUGGCCCCUACAUUUGCAAUGCCACAGUCACACUUCUUUUCCCAUCCCUUCAACAGAAAAUCCUGUUUCAAGAAACCAGUCCCAGGCCUGGUGGUAGAGACCAAGCCAGAGGAAAGAAACUAAACAGAAUGGCUUUUCCCUGCAGUGGAUUGGAGUACAACUCUGAAGCCUGGACACCAUGGGGCAAGGUGACUCUAGGAGGUCCCUACCUGUGCAGGGGUCCAGCAGACUUGACAGCUCUUCUUCUAGCAAUUGCUUCACAGAGAGGUCCUCUUCAGGAUCCAAAGGCCCUUCCUCCUGUUCUGGGUCUGUCUGGCCUCCAGCCCUCGCACUCGGGCCAUCUGUGUCUGUGAUUGCACUCCUACAAAAGAAACCAGCCAGUCCACGGGUAUUUCCUGGCACACAGGAGGAGUUUAGUAAACCUCAGUGGAGCCAGUGCAGCUGUCCAUCCAUCCAUAGAAGAAGAGCUCCAGCAAGGCUGGGAUUUUUGCCUGUCUCAUUCCCUGCUCGCUCACUGAUGCUCAGAACAGGGCGUGGCACACAGUGGGUGCUGAAUCAACACUUAAUGAAUGACUGAACAUUCCUUCCUUCCUACUUUAGGCCAAAACCUAGGCCAGAAGAACAGACCUAUGGAGGGUGCAGCUGGAGUGAGGCAGCCUAAAGCUGCUCAGAAUCUGCUACCUGCAUCCCAGUCUCCUGCUGUCUCCAUCCUGGCCCCUCUCUCCCAUGGACACUUGGGGACAGGCCUGGACCCUCAUCCCAGCAGGUGGAAAGGCUUCUGAGGGGUUUUAAGGCGUAGGAGUCCUUUCUGUUUGUUUGGGAUUUUUUCCCCCUGUAGCCAUUUCUGCUGCUGUGAAGAAAUGAGCAGGGAGGUGGCAAGUGUGUGGGUGAUAAUGACAACUAAUGUUUAUUAAGCAGUGAGUCUGAGUCAGGCCUCAUGUGAUGCAAGGUCCAUGCACCGUCUCAUUCAAACCUUCCACACCUGUAAAGGGUUCUCUUCAAUCACCCCAUUGUACACAUGAGAAAACCAAGACUUGUGAAGAUUUUGCAGGUUCCCAAGGUCCCCGUAGAUUAAGAGAUAAAGCAAGAAUUCAAAUCCAGGCCAGUGUGACUCUGGAGUGUGUGGACUCACCCCUGCCGUACACUACCUCUUGCCAUCCUUGUAAAAAGAAGCUAUAAGUUGUCAGGGCAAGAGCACUGAUGCAGGAGUCAGGAACUCUGAGAGCUGGUCCCAGCUUUGCCACUCACUUGUUACAUGACCUUUAGCAAAAUUGCUUCAAGGGGAAAGGAGUUAGCGUUGUGUGUGCACCUACUAUGCAUCAGUCCUGGGCUAUGGGCUUAGAAUACAAUUGAUCAUGAAAUUCUCACCCCAUUACUACAAGGGAAAUGGGAUGGCUUCUAUUUUACAGAUGGGGAAACCAAGGUCCUGAGAGAUUAUCUCACUUGCUCAAGUUUACAUAGCUGGUUUGAAUCAAACUAUCCAGAGCCUCAGUUUAUCCAUCCAUAACAAGAAGUUGGAUUUGAUGUUCUCUUAAGGGCUCUUCAAUUCUAGGAUUGCCCAAAGGGACACGCCCACAUAUCCAUGUCUUUAGUGGGGAGCCUUCAUAUUAUGUUUAUGGGCCCAGAGAAAGAGAGGUGACAGUUACAGAUAUAAAGGCAAUUUACAGCACCUCUGUAAUCAGGGGACGAAUCGAGCCUCAGCGAUGAAGUCAUUUCCUUGGUGACUACUGUAUUGAUAGUAUUUAUUAAUACAUCUUGAUAGUCCUAUAGGACUUCUAGGUCGUGUAAAUACUAUCAAUACAGUCACCCCAUGACCAAGCCUCCCAGGGUGGGAGGAUGGAUGCUGUCUGCUGCACCCUCCCAGGGGACCGGUGUCUGGGAUGGGCUCACCCUUCCUCACUCACAGAGGCUGCAGAGAUGAGGGGCAGCCAGUAGGGGCCAUGAGAUGCCUGUGGGGGCUACGUGCUGCUUACCUGCUGCCUCCUGGCUUGGCCAAGUACUUAUUUCCUCGGUGGUUUGGUUUCGGCUGGAAUUGGCCCUGAUGCAGCAAGGACAGCAGCUGGGAGAUUUGCUACAAGACAGGAAAAAUCUGUUGACUCCACACAAUUCCGACUCAGCACACUUCCUCGCCGGAUGUUUCCCUCAAUGCCGGUGCUUUCUUUUUAUAGUCUUUCCUCUGGCUUCAGAUGUUUGUGUGAUCAGAUGGGGGAUGGUGCCCAGUGGCAGAGACAGGGACCUGGGCAGGCAGGUCCCCUGCUCUGUCAUGUCACCCCAGGACCUGAGUGUCUGAAGGAGAGCAAGAGGACCCUCUGGGCCCAUCCCCUCACACUCAUUCCUCCGAGUGUCCUGCGCCUGGUGGACUCUGAGAGAUAGGGGUGAAAAACGCAUUUCCUGACCAUCAAUUUGUUGUCACUUUGAUAAAGAUUAUCUUAAAGAGUUAUGUUCCCCUUUAGCAGUAUUUGGACAUUUGGUCGAUUUUUGUUGACCAGAUGUAAGACUAUGUUGUAGAGAAGGCAAAAUGGUGUCAUUAAAUUAUUCAUUUAUUCAUCUUUUCAUUCAUUCAUUCAACAAGUACUUAAUAAGUGCCAGGCAGGAUGGUUGCAAUGGGAGUAAGAAGGAGAAGGAGACCCAGCUGCUGCCCUCAGCAUGGUCAUAUCUGUCAGGAGGUGAAGGUUGCAGGCAGCCCCACAGGGAGUGGGGGAGCAGUGAAGAGUGGUUACCACAGGGGUUGCCUCUGGGCGUAGGGAAAGAGUGGGGGCUCUGUGGGAGUGGAGGAAGGCCCCUAACCCAACUUGGAGCAGGGAGGAAGCAGGGGGGUGGUACUGGAUUAAGUUCAUUCAUUCAUUUCAACAGAUGUUACUGAGUUCAUACUACAUGCCAGGCACCUCUGCUGAGACCCAAAGGCUCCAUAGGAGUUUGGCAAGUGGAAAGAGAACGAGGGUCUGGGCAAGGGGUGAUGGUGACAGGGGGGUGGUUUCAGGCAGAAGCACUGCACACUGAAAGGCUGGAAGAGAAGGCAGAGUUUCAGAAAGAUUGGAGAAUGGAGUAGGGGAUGGGUGAGCUACCAGGGCCAGACCCUAUAGGCCAUUGGGAGGGAAAGGCAACAGAUCAAGUCCUGGGAGGCGGAGUUCUAGUUCAAGGCCAUUUGUAGCUUAUUGUAUAGUGUUAGACAGGCUUUUAGACCUCCUCAGACCUCAGUUUCCUCAUCUCUAAUGGGGGGCUAGAAAUACCCAUACAGCCUUCUUCUCGGUGUUGUCAAGAUUAAAUGGUUUGAAAAAGUUAAAAAUCCUUUGCAAAA